AGUUUUAUAUUCUUUUAAAGAUUUUAAAUUGCAAAUUUAAAGAAAUAAUUAUAAAAUUAUUAAGACUU
rnacentral:tRNA from 1 species